rnacentral:rRNA from 1 species
CAGUCGCCGCGGGAAUACAGAGGGUGCGAGCGUUAAUCGGAUUUACUGGGCGUAAAGCGUGCGUAGGCGGCUAAUUGAGUCGGAUGUGAAAUCCCUGAGCUUAACUUAGGAAUUGCAUUCGAUACUGGGAAGCUAGAGUAUGGGAGAGGAUGGUAGAAUUCCAGGUGUAGCGGUGAAAUGCGUAGAGAUCUGGAGGAAUACCGAUGGCGAAGGCAGCCAUCUGGCCUAAUACUGACGCUGAGGUGCGAAAGCGUGGGGAGCAAACAGGAUUAGAUACCCCAGUAGUCCCUGUCUCUUAUAC